GUUUAUAGUUGCACAUUACUGCGCGAUAAGACAUUCUGUUACUUUGUGUUUGUAAAAACUCGGCCGUUGAGGCCUCGAUCGCGAGGACCAAGAACCAUUAUCCGACCAAAGGUAUGCACAGGUGUUUGUGGGAUUUGCGACCGAGCGUGCACAUGUGUCUCCACCAGCACAGACAACAGCCGACUUUGAAGAUUCGUUAAUGAUCCUUCCGCAGGUUCACCUACGGAAA
rnacentral:misc_RNA from 1 species